rnacentral:rRNA from 1 species
UACGAAGGCGCCGAGCGUUAUCCGGAUUUAUUGGGCGUAAAGCGUUUGUAGGGGGUCAUGUUAGUCCGACGUUAAAGCCCGGGACUCAAUCCCGGAAAUGCGUUGGAUACGGCUGACUAGAGGAAGUCAGAGGCAAAUGGAACGGCCGGUGUAGGGGUGAAAUCCGUUGAUAUCGGCCGGAACACCAAAGGCGAAGGCAUUUUGCUGGGACUUUCCUGACCCUGAGCAACGAAAGCGUGGGUCGC